rnacentral:rRNA from 1 species
GGGAUUUGGCAUGGGCGAAGCCUGNCCAGCAACGCCGCGUGAGGGAUGACGGCCUUCGGGUUGUAAACCUCUUUCAGCAGGGACGAAGCGCAAGUGACGGUACCUGCAGAAGAAGCACCGGCCAACUACGUGCCAGCAGCCGCGGUAAUACGUAGGGUGCGAGCGUUGUCCGGAAUUAUUGGGCGUAAAGGGCUCGUAGGCGGUUUGUCGCGUCGGGAGUGAAAACUCAGGGCUUAACCCUGAGCCUGCUUCCGAUACGGGCAGACUAGAGGUAUGCAGGGGAGAACGGAAUUCCUGGUGUAGCGGUGAAAUGCGCGGAUAUCAGGAGGAACACCGGUGGCGAAGGCGGUUCUCUGGGCAUUACCUGACGCUGAGGAGCGAAAGUGUGGGGAGCGAACAGGAUUAGAUACCCUGGUAGUCCACACCGUAAACGUUGGGCGCUAGGUGUGGGACUCAUUCCACGAGUUCCGUGCCGCAGCUAACGCAUUAAGCGCCCCGCCUGGGGAGUACGGCCNCAAGGCUGAAACUCAAAAAAAUUGACGGA